GACGAACGCUGGCGGCGUGCUUAACACAUGCAAGUCGAACGGAAAGGCCUCUUUCGGGGGGUACUCGAGUGGCGAACGGGUGAGUAACACGUGAGUAACCUGCCCUUGACUUUGGGAUAACUUCAGGAAACUGGGGCUAAUACCGGAUAGGAGCUCCUGCUGCAUGGUGGGGGAUGGAAAGUUUCGGCGGUUGGGGAUGGACUCGCGGCUUAUCAGCUUGUUGGUGGGGUAGUGGCUUACCAAGGCUUUGACGGGUAGCCGGCCUGAGAGGGUGACCGGCCACAUUGGGACUGAGAUACGGCCCAGACUCCUACGGGAGGCGGCGGUGGGGAAUAUUGCACAAUGGGUGGAAGCCUGAUGCAGCAACGCCGUGUGCGGGAUGACGGCCUUCGGGUUGUAAACCGCUUUCGCUCAUGACGAAGCUUUGUGUGACGGUAGUGGGUAAAGAAGCACCGGCUAACUACGUG
rnacentral:rRNA from 1 species